ensembl:snRNA U4 U4 spliceosomal RNA
AUCCUUUUGCAGUGGCAGUAUCGUAGCCUAUGAGGUUUAUCCGAGGCGUGAUUAUUGCUAGUUGAAAACUUUACCCAAUUCCCGCCUUGAUGACUUGAAAUAUAGUCAGCAGUGGCAAUUUUUGAUGGUCUCUGAGGAGA